AUGGCAAUGCUGCAAUACAUCGAUCUUUGGCGCACGGUGAAUCAUGUGCAGCUCUCUGAGGCCCCGGAUCAACUAACUUGGCGUUGGACCUCCUCCGACAUGUACACCACCAAGUCUUGCUACAAGCAGCUCUUCGUGGGCGCCAUCCCCGACCCAAACUGGCGCCUCGUUUGGAAGACUUCGGCGCCUCUCCGGAUCAAAUUCUUCCUAUGGCUUGCCCUCCUUGACCCCUGCUGGACAGCUGCGAGACUCGAAAGGCAUGGGUUGCCGCACGAGGAUUCUUGCAUUCUCUGCGACCAAACCGAUGAGUCCAUGCAGCAUCUCCUCGCGGACUGCCCUUUCUCUAGACAGAUUUGGUUCGACGUCAUCGUGUGGUGCAGACUGUUAGAAAUACAUCUGUGUAGUUAG
rnacentral:rRNA from 1 species